AGACCCGAAACCCGGUGAUCUAGCCAUGGGCAGGUUGAAGGUUGGGUAACACUAACUGGAGGACCGAACCGACUAAUGUUGAAAAAUUAGCGGAUGACUUGUGGCUGGGGGUGAAAGGCCAAUCAAACCGGGAGAUAGCUGGUUCUCCCCGAAAGCUAUUUAGGUAGCGCCUCGUGAAUUCAUCUCCGGGGGUAGAGCACUGUUUCGGCAAGGGGGUCAUCCCGACUUACCAACCCGAUGCAAACUGCGAAUACCGGAGAAUGUUAUCACGGGAGACACACGGCGGGUGCUAACGUCCGUCGUGAAGAGGGAAACAACCCAGACCGCCAGCUAAGGUCCCAAAGUCAUGGUUAAGUGGGAAACGAUGUGGGAAGGCCCAGACAGCCAGGAUGUUGGCUUAGAAGCAGCCAUCAUUUAAAGAAAGCGUAAUAGCUCACUGGUCGAGUCGGCCUGCGCGGAAGAUGUAACGGGGCUAAACCAUGCACCGAAGCUGCGGCAGCAACACUGUGUGUUGUUGGGUAGGGGAGCGUUCUGUAAGCCUGUGAAGGUGUGCUGUGAGGCAUGCUGGAGGUAUCAGAAGUGCGAAUGCUGACAUAAGUAACGAUAAAGCGGGUGAAAAGCCCGCUCGCCGGAAGACCAAGGGUUCCUGUCCAACGUUAAUCGGGGCAGGGUGAGUCGACCCCUAAGGCGAGGCCGAAAGGCGUAGUCGAUGGGAAACAGGUUAAUAUUCCUGUACUUGGUGUUACUGCGAAGGGGGGACGGAGAAGGCUAUGUUGGCCGGGCGACGGUUGUCCCGGUUUAAGCGUGUAGGCUGGUUUUCCAGGCAAAUCCGGAAAAUCAAGGCUGAGGCGUGAUGACGAGGCACUACGGUGCUGAAGCAACAAAUGCCCUGCUUCCAGGAAAAGCCUCUAAGCAUCAGGUAACAUCAAAUCGUACCCCAAACCGACACAGGUGGUCAGGUAGAGAAUACCAAGGCGCUUGAGAGAACUCGGGUGAAGGAACUAGGCAAAAUGGUGCCGUAACUUCGGGAGAAGGCACGCUGAUAUGUAGGUGAAGUCCCUCGCGGAUGGAGCUGAAAUCAGUCGAAGAUACCAGCUGGCUGCAACUGUUUAUUAAAAACACAGCACUGUGCAAACACGAAAGUGGACGUAUACGGUGUGACGCCUGCCCGGUGCCGGAAGGUUAAUUGAUGGGGUCAGCGCAAGCGAAGCUCUUGAUCGAAGCCCCGGUAAACGGCGGCCGUAACUAUAACGGUCCUAAGGUAGCGAAAUUCCUUGUCGGGUAAGUUCCGACCUGCACGAAUGGCGUAAUGAUGGCCAGGCUGUCUCCACCCGAGACUCAGUGAAAUUGAACUCGCUGUGAAGAUGCAGUGUACCCGCGGCAAGACGGAAAGACCCCGUGAACCUUUACUAUAGCUUGACACUGAACAUUGAGCCUUGAUGUGUAGGAUAGGUGGGAGGCUUUGAAGUGUGGACGCCAGUCUGCAUGGAGCCGACCUUGAAAUACCACCCUUUAAUGUUUGAUGUUCUAACGUGGACCCGUGAUCCGGGUUGCGGACAGUGUCUGGUGGGUAGUUUGACUGGGGCGGUCUCCUCCUAAAGAGUAACGGAGGAGCACGAAGGUUGGCUAAUCCUGGUCGGACAUCAGGAGGUUAGUGCAAUGGCAUAAGCCAGCUUGACUGCGAGCGUGACGGCGCGAGCAGGUGCGAAAGCAGGUCAUAGUGAUCCGGUGGUUCUGAAUGGAAGGGCCAUCGCUCAACGGAUAAAAGGUACUCCGGGGAUAACAGGCUGAUACCGCCCAAGAGUUCAUAUCGACGGCGGUGUUUGGCACCUCGAUGUCGGCUCAUCACAUCCUGGGGCUGAAGUAGGUCCCAAGGGUAUGGCUGUUCGCCAUUUAAAGUGGUACGCGAGCUGGGUUUAGAACGUCGUGAGACAGUUCGGUCCCUAUCUGCCGUGGGCGCUGGAGAACUGAGGGGGGCUGCUCCUAGUACGAGAGGACCGGAGUGGACGCAUCACUGGUGUUCGGGUUGUCAUGCCAAUGGCACUGCCCGGUAGCUAAAUGCGGAAGAGAUAAGUGCUGAAAGCAUCUAAGCACGAAACUUGCCCCGAGAUGAGUUCU
rnacentral:rRNA from 1 species